AUGUGUUAUUUUGAGAAGAGGAAAUUGACAGAGAAAAAAAGGAAAUGGCAUCCCAGUAGAGAACUGGCCACUCUGCAGAGGUGUGCAGAGGAAGUGCCACUCCACACUGUGUUCUGGGCCACUUCAGCACUUCUUGGGGUGAUUCUCAGGACCCGGAUCCUGUCCUCAGAUAUGGGGACAUAUCCCACCAUGCUCUUUGGGGACCCUUUGAAGUGUGUUCUUCAGAACAGGGAAAGAGAGCAUUGUGAAGGUGGUACUAACAUGUUCCAGAGGGGAAAGAACAAGUGCUGACCUUCAUAGAAAGCAGUAGAACCUCCAGCCUGACUACUUGUGUGGGGAAGAGCUGGCCAGAGCAGUCUCUAAGAAGCCUAGUGAGCAAGGGUGACUGCGAGGGUCUUCAGGGAACAGAACAGGUUGACUCCAAGUUUGUAUCUUUGCAGUUGAAAGGUGCUAUGUGAGCUCCACUUGUUGUUCCCAAAGACUACUUCUCAGAGCACUUCAAGGACUGGCCAUGUGCCCUCCCAUUUUGGCAGGACUGACCACAAGGAAUAUCCUUGGAGGAAGAUUACAAUCGUGCCUUGGGACAGAUUAAAUGAGGGCAGGAGGGAGAUUCUGUUUCCUGAGGCCUGCCCUUCAGGCCCAACACACCCAACAUUAUAACAAAAGACUGUAACAAGAGCUACGAGAGUUAUGAGCCCGGAGCGGUGGAUGAAAACCAAUAUAUAUGAAACUGCCUUUGCAAAAAAUUAUGAGAAGAAAAUCACUCCCAGAAAGAGAUGAGAGCAUGGAAUCCCAAGACUUUAUCUCAGUGUUCAGAUGACCUCUCUCGACAAAUGCACAAGAUACUACAACUGCGGCCACUAUCCUAGUUGGAAACACAAUUUGGACAGAAGUGAUCAGUGACCACAUCUGGUUCAGGAAUCACAGGAUCUUGCAAAGUUGUCUCCGAUUGACAUGAACUGGCUGGAUUCUCACUCCAGGUCUAUCACCUUCUUAUUUGUUAAUGAAAUAUUUGUCUUCAGACAUUAUGACAGAUAUCCAAUGAGUUUCAGAGGGUUUGAAAAUGAUGGACACUUUAGACAUGAAUAGCCUACAUGGUGAACUUACAGAGGCGAAGCAACUGGUCAACAAACAGCUGCUCUACCAAAAAAGCCUGGAAUUACAAAGCGGACGAACGUUUUUGCAGAGCUAGAAACUAAUUCCAAUAAGGCUAAAAACCUGCUACUGCUGGUAGGAAAAAUCCUAACUAUUCACAGUCAAAUGCUUUUGUUGCGAGGUUAUUUAGGUUGAUGUUGAUAAGGGAAAAGUUCCCUUGUCCUCCUGGCAGGGCGUGCGAUGGGGGUGUGGCUCGCUUCUUCCGUGCCCCGCUGCUCAAACCUCCAGGGGAAUAUACAGACGGGUGGGCUGUGGGGCUGCGACCCAUGGCAGUGUCUAGGGGUGAAUGUUUACAGCUGAAGCCCCAGUGGGCAUGUUACAGGGUGCCCUUUUAGUUUAGCCGUCAGCAGGCGGUUUAUGUUAGUCAGCUCAAUUAGAUCCCUGCUUCAUCGCAAGGACAGAGGGCUUUCUGUAUCCCGGGGUUCCUGUCUUGGUGUACCAGAAGAAU